rnacentral:rRNA from 1 species
UACGUAGGGUGCGAGCGUUAAUCGGAAUUACUGGGCGUAAAGUGUGCGCAGGCGGCAGAGCAAGUCGAGUGUGAAAGCCCCGGGCUUAACUUGGGAAUUGCGCUCGAAACUACUUUGCUGGAGUGUGGCAGAGGAAGGUGGAAUUCCACGUGUAGCGGUGAAAUGCGCAGAUAUCAGGAGGAACACCGAUGGCGAAGGCAGGUCUCUGGGCAUUAACUGACGCUGAGGAGCGAAAGCAUGGGGAGCGAACAGG